UACGGAGGGUGCGAGCGUUGUCCGGAAUCACUGGGCGUAAAGGGCGCGUAGGUGGUCUGAUAAGGGUGUGGUGAAAGCCCGGGGCUCAACCCCGGGUCGGCCGUGCCGACUGUUGGACUAGAGUGCUGUAGGGGCAGGCGGAAUUCCGGGUGUAGCGGUGGAAUGCGUAGAGAUCCGGAGGAAGACCGGUGGCGAAGGCGGCCUGCUGGGCAGUUACUGACACUGAGGCGCGACAGCGUGGGGAGCAACAGG
rnacentral:rRNA from 1 species